rnacentral:rRNA from 1 species
GUGUCAGCAGCCGCGGUAAUACGUAGGUGACGAGCGUUAUCCGGAUUUACUGGGCGUAAAGCGCUUGUAGGUGGCUUUGUAAGUUGGGCGUGAAAACUCUGGGCUUAACCCAGAGACGCCGUCCAAUACUGCGAGGCUCGAGGAUGUCAGAGGAAGGUGGAAUUCCUGGUGUAGUGGUGAAAUGCGUAGAUAUCAGGAGGAACACCCGUGGCGAAGGCGGCCUUCUGGGGCAUUCCUGACACUGAGAAGCGAAAGCUAGGGGAGCAAACAGGAUUAGAAACCCUGGUAGUCCUAGCUGUAAACGAUGGAUGCUAGGUGUUGGCGGAUUUAACCCUGCCAGUGCCGAAGCUAACGCGUUAAGCAUCCCGCCUGGGAAGUACGAUCGCAAGAUUAAA